rnacentral:rRNA from 1 species
GUGCCUAACACAUGCAAGUCGAACGGGAAUCUUCGGAUUCUAGUGGCGGACGGGUGAGUAACGCGUAAGAAUCUAACUUCAGGACGGGGACAACAGUUGGAAACGACUGCUAAUACCCGAUGUGCCGCAAGGUGAAAUCUAAUUGGCCUGGAGAAGAGCUUGCGUCUGAUUAGCUAAUUGGUGGGGUAAGAGCCUACCAAGGCGACAAUCAGUAGCUGGUCUGAGAGGAUGAGCAGCCACACUGGGACUGAGACACGGCCCAGACUCCUACGGGAGGCAGCAGUGGGGAAUUUUCCGCAAUGGGCGAAAGCCUGACGGAGCAACGCCGCGUGAGGGAGGAAGGUCUUUGGAUUGUAAACCUCUUUUCUCAAGGAAGAAGUUCUGACGGUACUUGAGGAAUCAGCCUCGGCUAACUCCGUGCCAGCAGCCGCGGUAAUACGGGGGAGGCAAGCGUUAUCCGGAAUUAUUGGGCGUAAAGCGUCCGCAGGUGGUCAGCCAAG